UACAGAGGUCCCGAGCGUUUGUUCGGAUUCAUUGGGCGUAAAGGGUGCGUAGGCGGCUUCCUAAGUUUGAUGUGAAAUCCUGGGGCUCAACCCUGGAACUGCAUUGAAUACUGGGAGGCUAGAGUACUGGAGAGGAAACUGGAAUUUACGGUGUAGCAGUGAAAUGCGUAGAGAUCGUAAGGAAGACCAGUGGCGAAGGCGAGUUUCUGGACAGUUACUGACGCUGAGGCACGAAGGCCAGGGGAGCAAACGGG
rnacentral:rRNA from 1 species